UACGUAGGGUGCGAGCGUUGUCCGGAAUUACUGGGCGUAAAGAGCUCGUAGGUGGUUUGUCGCGUUGUUCGUGAAAACUCACAGCUCAACUGUGGGCGUGCGGGCGAUACGGGCAGACUGGAGUACUGCAGGGGAGACUGGAAUUCCUGGUGUAGCGGUGGAAUGCUCAGAUAUCAGGAGGAACACCGGUGGCGAAGGCGGGUCUCUGGGCAGUAACUGACGCUGAGGAGCGAAAGCGUGGGGAGCGAACAGG
rnacentral:rRNA from 1 species